rnacentral:rRNA from 1 species
AGCGAACGCUGGCGGCAGGCUUAACACAUGCAAGUCGAGCGGGCAUCUUCGGGUGUCAGCGGCGGACGGGUGAGUAACGCGUGGGAACGUGCCUUCUGGUUCGGAAUAACUCAGGGAAACUUGAGCUAAUACCCGAUACGCCCUUUUGGGGAAGGGUUUACUUCCGGACGAUCAGCCCGCGGCUGAUUAGCUAGUUGGUGGGGUAACGGCCGACCAAGGCGACGAUCAGUAGCUGGUCUGAGAGGAUGAUCAGCCACACUGGGACUGAGACACUGCCCAGACUCCUACGAGCGGCAGCAGGGGGGAAUAUUGGACAAUGGGGGCAACCCUGAUCCAGCCGUGCCGCGUGAGUGAUGAAGUCCUUAGGGUUGUAAAGCUCUUUUAUCCGGGACGAUAAUUACGGUACCGGAGGAAUAAGCCCCGGCUAACUCCGUGCCAGCCGCCGCAGUAA